rnacentral:lncRNA from 1 species
UACCAUCAAGCCAUAAACUGCCCCAACAACAUCUCCUGGCUGGCUAAUGGCACACCUAAUAGACUGAGUAAGACGCACAAGAUUCCAGAGUAAUUGCUCAGAGGUGACUUCAGGCAGGUGA